UGUGAUGCCCUUAGAUGUGCUGGGCCGCACGCGCGCUACAAUGAUGCAAACAACGAGUAUGAUCCUUGACCGAAAGGUUUGGGCAAUCUUGCAAAUUGCAUCGUGCUAGGGAUAGAUGAUUGCAAUUAUUCAUCUUGAACGAGGAAUGCCUUGUAAGCGUGAGUCAUCAACUUGCGCUGAAUACGUCCCUGCCCUUUGUACACAC
rnacentral:rRNA from 14 species